CAAAUAAAACUAUAAUUGGCACCAUUCAUUAGGUUCGUCUUUCUACAAAGAGCAGUUAGCGAAGCAUUCUGGUGGUGUUUCCUUACCAAGGUAGAACAAUGGGGAUGAUCCAAUUCUAACGGUUGGUUUCAAGAUUGUGGCAUUGAGAGCCAUAAUUAGAUCUAACAUCGAGGUCCUCAAGUAUAUUCAUGAUGGGAUAAAGAAAUAAAACGAAGCUACUUUGAUGUCCUAUUUACUUAUUGCAGAUAAAAUAAUGGAAUUGGCACAUUGAAGAUCUUGGGUUAUAUGAUUUUAGAUUUUUUUAAAAUAAAUUAGAACAAAUAAGU